AUUGAACGCUGGCGGCAGGCCUAACACAUGCAAGUCGAGCGGAUGAAGGGAGCUUGCUCCUGGAUUCAGCGGCGGACGGGUGAGUAAUGCCUAGGAAUCUGCCUGGUAGUGGGGGAUAACGUCCGGAAACGGGCGCUAAUACCGCAUACGUCCUGAGGGAGAAAGUGGGGGAUCUUCGGACCUCACGCUAUCAGAUGAGCCUAGGUCGGAUUAGCUAGUUGGUGGGGUAAAGGCCUACCAAGGCGACGAUCCGUAACUGGUCUGAGAGGAUGAUCAGUCACACUGGAACUGAGACACGGUCCAGACUCCUACGGGAGGCAGCAGUGGGGAAUAUUGGACCAUGGGCGAAAGCCUGAGCCAGCCAUGCCGCGUGUGUGAAGAAGGUCUUCGGAUUCUAAAGCACUUUAAGUUGGGAGGAAGGGCAGUAAGUUAAUACCUUGCUGUAUUGACGUUACCAACAGAAUAAGCACCGGCUAACUUCGUG
rnacentral:rRNA from 1 species